GACGAACGCUGGCGGCGUGCCUAAUACAUGCAAGUUGAGCGCUGAAGGUUGGUACUUGUACCCACUGGAUGAGCAUCUAACGUGUGAGUAACGCGUUGGGAAUCUGCCUUUGAGCGGGGGACCACAUUUGGAAACGAAUGCUAAUACCGCAUAAAAACUUUAUACACAAUUUUUAAGUUUGAAAGAUGCAAUUGCAUCACUCAAAGAUGAUCCCGCGUUGUAUUAGCUAGUUGGUGAGGUAAAGGCUCACCAAGGCGAUGAUACAUAGCCGACCUGAGAGGGUGAUCGGCCACAUUGGGACUGAGACACGGCCCAAACUCCUACGGGAGGCAGCAGUAGGGAAUCUUCGGCAAUGGACGAAAGUCUGACCGAGCAACGCCGCGUGAGUGAAGAAGGGUUUCGGAUCGUAAAACUCUGUUGGUAGAGAAGAACGUUGGUGAGAGUGGAAAGCUCAUCAAGUGACGGUAACUAACCAGAAAGGGACGGCUAACUACGUG
rnacentral:rRNA from 1 species